CAGAGAGAACGAAAGAGCACGCACGAGAGAGAGAGAGAGAGAGAGAGACGCGCAGAGAAGACCUCCCUUUUCUCGCUCUGAGAGAGAGAGAGAGAGAGAGAGAGAGAGAGAGAGAGAGCUCAAGCUCUGCACAAUGUGAAGAGGCAAAUUAGCUUUGCAAACUUCCCCAGCAGGCGUCUCAGCCUCCCCGAAAAACAAGAGGGACGCGAGAAGUCGGAGAGAGAGAGAGAGAGAGAGAGAGAGCACGAGGCGCGCGCGAGACGCGCUCUUUUCGCUCGGUUGAAAGGUGACAUGAGGAGUCUAUUCCGCGCGAGCGAGACAGAAGGAGCUCCCUGAAUCUCUCAGCUGGUCUACAGGGGAACUUUUGUUCAUGUUCAUUUUGUUGGUGUGAUUUCCGCGGGCAGCUCCACCACCACACCGAGAGGAUGGGCGGAUUUAUCUGCACGCGCUGAGGAUUUAAUAAAUAAAUAAAUAAAUACAUCUUUUUUUUUUGGAUGACCGUUGACGGAACGUUUACACCCGAGCGUGCGAAAAGAUCUGAUAGCACAGCCUGUCUCCUGCCAUGUCGUGGUUCCUGUGUUUGUGGAUAGCCGUUAGCUGCCUCGUGCUCUGCCAGGCCACCCUGUACGAGACCAUCCAGCAGCACCACGUGCCUCGACCCGGCCGUAACGCCAUCCAGAUCCUCGAGGGCGGGACGUGUGAGGUGAUCGCAGCCCAUCGGUGCUGCAAUAAGAACCGCAUCGAGGAACGCUCGCAGACGGUCAAGUGCUCGUGUCUGCCGGGAAAAGUAGCAGGGACGACACGCAACAAGCCCUCCUGCGUGGACGCCUCCAUUGUGAUCGGGAAGUGGUGGUGUGAGAUGGAGCCAUGUUUGGAAGGAGAAGAGUGCAAAACGCUGCCAGAUAACUCGGGCUGGAUGUGUUCCUCCGGGAACAAGAUCAAAACCACCAGGGUGAGAACCUCGAGACCUACACACACAAUUUAUACACACCAUACACACACACACACACACACACACAUACAAACCUAUUCACAAUAGCAAAGACUUUGGCAGUUAUAUAUAUUUUCAAUGUUAUAUGUCACGCUUAAUUUUUCCACAGUUUAGUGUGUGUGUGUGUGUGUGUGUGUGUGUGUGUGUGUGUGUGUGUGUGUGCACGCGGUAACGCACUGAGAACCAGGGAGAUGAUGUGGUAUAUUUAUGUGGCUCAGUAAAAGUGGAACAGUUAAAGCCACAGAGACACACAGGAGCUUUAAAUCAUAGCGUUUUCCUUUUCUGGAAAAAAAAAAAAAAAGACAAAAACAAAAAAAAAAAUGAAAUGUGUUUAAUAAAACUGACUUUAUUUUUAUCAUAAACUAAAACAUCAUAAACACCAUCAUAAAACAACACUGCUGUUCAUACCGGUUAAGAAAGGAAGGACGAAAGACAGACGGACUCCCGUUAGACAGAAGAGUAAUAAGUAAGGGCGGAGAAAAGAAAGGAGGAAGGAAAUUACACUUCGGCUAGGCGUGAUGGGAAGAAGAAGAGACACAGACAGACAGAAAAAGAAAAAAAAACAGACAGAGAGAGAGAGACAGGCAGAUAGAAAGAGAGACAGAGAAAUAAAAUGGCGCUUUACACCGUGUCUCAUUCACCCAUCACACACACACUCACACACCAGUGGUAGCAGAGCUGCCAUGCAAGGCGCUAACUCGCCAUCGGGAGCAAUUUAGGGUUCAGUGUCUCACCCGAGGACACUUCGGCAUGUGGAGUCACGUGGGCCGGGAAUCGAACCCCCGACCCUACGAUCAGUGUACGACCCGCUCUACCGCCUGACCCACAGCUGCCCCAGUAGAAGCGGACACAAAGACAAAGACAGAUGAGGCAAAAAAGACAGACAGAUGGACAGACAUAGACAGACUGACAGAGAUACAGACAGGUUGGCGGGGGCUUUGUUCCCCUGCACAUGUUCUCAGUGUUUCCUGUGGGCUGAUUAAACGUUUUUAAACCCAGCUAAACUGAGCCGCGACGAGUCCGGAUCAUUCUCCGCUUUCCACAGGUAAGACCUCUCCUCGUUAUUUGCUGUAGCACAGAAACAAUCACCACAUUCUACACAUUGCACAAUAAUAUUACAUUAAUAUCCUCACUACCCCUACACCCUACUCCAGAGGAGGCUGCCUACGUAGGCCGAAUCACUCCGCUGUGUUUUGUGCUCCUGGCGUAAAAGUCUGUCCUUUAACAAGACGUCUCGUUUUGGAGACAUAUGAAAAAGCACCACGUGCAUCUGCGGGACUGUGGGGGGGGUGCCAUUAAUUAUAGUAUCAAAUGUCCUGUUAAUACAGGAUUGCUGUAAUACCAUGAGCCUUUAUAACACUGUAACCAAUCAUAUGUCUGACGUGAACUGUAAUUAAAAUGUAAUACUGGUGCACGUGCAGAAACACGGGAUUGUUUACGUCACGUAUCCGCUGAACCGCGCGGUCUGUUAAAGUGCCCGUGGAAUCAAAUGGGGUGUUUCGGAGCUUUUCACACGUGUCUUGGCGUUAUGAACACGUGUAUUCCAGUUUACAUGAAAACGUUUAGACAUUUCAGACACAUCAAUGCCCAGAAAUGAGCUCAAGCCCUCAUCAGCAGCAUGGGUUCUCAAUCUUACUGCAGAAACAAUCAGGGCAGGGUGUGUUCAAGACCACAUACAAAAGACCCUCGGGUCAUUUCAUGGGCACUUUAAAGGCUCUGGUCUACUUCGUGUUUUUACGCGUGCGCUAGCGUCAGCACACAGUCGUACGCGUAGCCUUUCAAACUAUACUCCAUUUAACAAGUUACAACAACUUGCACUACUCCUUCUGGCCUCUAAGAGUCAGUACAGAGCAAUAAAAGCAGGUCUUCUGGUGUGAAGGACGACAACGGAGAAGAAUCACAGCAACGUGAAGAACGAUGCGAUGCUCGGGCCAUCUCGCGCCGCGAUUAGCACCCGUACACGAAUCCUUAUACUCUACGGCUAGAAUUAUACAAACGCAGGUCCUUUUCACCCUGCGCUCGUUUCCGUUUAUUCCGUUCUUUUCUUCCACUACCUUGACCAUCAAGGUCUCUGUCGCCACCUUGUGGAACAACUAAAUAGUGCAAAAGCGCACGUGCGACCUGCGUGUGCAAAGUACGUACGGUCAGAAAAACCGUGCGGCGCGCAUACGGUACGCACGUACUCUGCUAAGGACCGAAUCUGUGUCGCACGUACCGUACGCUGUUCCUAGCGCACGCGUAAAAACUGAAGCGUUCUUUCUACUUAAGUGUUAAAUCAUUAGCAUUAAACAACAACCUUUGUGUGUGUGUGUGUGUGUGUGUGUGUGUGUAAACUGUGGCUGUGUUUUCUCUCCUGCCUCCUCUUAUAGAACACACAGCCAUAUUCCCCUUUUUAGCUCCAGAGCAGCUGCAGGAGAACCGGUGCAGAACCCUCAGCGCAAGAUUCAUCCUAGGACUUAACCCACAGCUCCCAUGCGGCUGCGCUCGAGCGUCCCCUCUGUCCCAACGGACUAAACCAUUCCAUCAAAGGGCAGUUUAAACGGAUUAGCUGUGAAAAGAGGACGUAGAACUGUAAAACACGCUCACACUGACGACGUGCCAAGGAUGUUUUGUUUUUGGGGAUUUUUAUUUUUUUUCUCUGGACAAGAGGAUGAGCAUCUCCUCUUCUCAAAACGACCGAGACUGAUCUCUGACAUGUUCUUCCCUCCAAACUCCCUCAUCUCUCUCUCUCUCUCUCACACACACACACACACACACACACACACACCUCCUGCAUAACCACAUAUGAAGACAUUUCUCCAGACGUUUCGGAUCGGUGACUAUAACGGAACAAAUGGAUUACAGACGUCGCGCCCGUCUCUUGUCCUGCUGAUCAUUAUGGGAGUUUGGAGUCGGUCCCUCACGGCAUGCUUGCUUCGUCUGGACUUCAGGAGCGUGUAGGCUGACUUCCGAACCCUCACAGAGCCAGCAAACGGCCACAACAACCACCGCAUUUACAGCACAUGAACACACGUCCAGGGUCGUAGGUCAAACCCCAGUGCGGUCUCUUUUUUUCUCCAUCAGCAUGCUCGAUGUACUUUGUGGGAGCUUUUAUUCGUAUUCUGUACAUACGUGUGUAUAUAUCUACAUAUACAUAUAAAAAAAAAAGAGAAGUUGUAUGAUCUACUAUGCUAAAGAAGUGUUCACAUGGUUCAGGA